rnacentral:rRNA from 1 species
AUGUCGAUUGCAGGGAUAAUUAAAGUCUUCGCUGCGUGCCCCGUCUUCAAUGGAACUGAAUAUCCCUAUUGGAAUAAUAAGAUGCGCAUGCAUCUUGAAGCCAUUGACGUCGACCUAUGGUAUGUCGUCAAGAACGGUGUUCCCAAGGCUGGAGAAGGUGUCACUGCUGCUGAUGUCAAGAAAUUCAUUCAACUGGACUCUACUGCCAAGAAUAUCAUCUGUGAUCAUCUGACCAAAGGACAGUAUGACCGUGUGAGUGCUUUGGAAACAUCUAAGCUAGUCUGGGACUGGCUCUCCAAGGUCAAUGAAGGUGUCUCAACCUAG